rnacentral:lncRNA from 1 species
AAUUCAGUAAACCUUCAUUUCAUUAAUUCAAGUUAUGAGGGUUUUCGCAGGUAUUAAGGUAUACAGUCUGGUGUUUGGUUUUAGGCCUCAGAUCAAUCCAUCUAUCUCAGUAUUUCAAAAAAGGAUGUGAGUCCUAAAAUCAAUGCACGUGACUACUAUUAACCUUUCUUCUCUUCAAUCAUCGAGGAUGCACUUUGUUGGUAAAAAGUUUCUAAAACUGUGAAGUAAAGGCUUCUCUGCUCUCUAAUCUCUGCUGUUGCUACUGCUCUACUACUCUAUCUCUACUUUUUACUUAAUUGUCUUUUAUUUUCGUUGGUUUGUAAUAAUAUUUGAUGUUGCUUGGAUAUUGGCUGGAUGUUUUAUUUGUGUACUCUGAAUUUGAAUCUUCUUUUGUUUGAUGGUGGAAUGGUUUUUACUUUUAGAGUUUGUUUCAAUACUUUGGCAUGUUCCU